CUCCUCCCCUGCUCUCGCCAUCGCACGCCCGCGCAGAACCCACCCAAGACCCAGCCCCUCGCUCGCUCGCUCGCCCGCCGAGAUCCAUGGCGGCCGCGGCGCGGGAGGGGGAGUUCAGCGAGCGCGAGCUCGAGGUGGCCGCCAUUCUCGCCGACCUGCCGUCCAUCGUGCGGGCCUGCAACCGCCGCCGCCGCCAGCAGGAGAAGCAGCAGCAGGCGCGGCCGGAGAUCCCCUCCUGGGGCCGGCGCCGGCCGCGGAGGGCCCCGGCGGCGCCGCCGGCCGAGAAGCCCGCGGCGGCCGGUGAUGACGAGAGGAGCGAGGGCGUCGCCAGCCCGGACACCCCGCUCGCCUUCCCGGAGGACGACGAGCACGCCGAGGCCGCCGCCGCGGCGGCCGUGGAGGACGCGGCCAAGGCCACCGCGCAGGACAAGUGGGCGCAGGAGCAGCGCGGCGUGGUCGCGAGCUUGUCCCACGAGAACGCCCAUCUCCUAAAGCAAAUCGAGGACUUCAGGGCCCGGCUGCACACCUCGCGGAGCACCAACGACAGCCUCAAGCAGAUUCACCAGAGCAAGCACAAGAAGCGGCACCGGCCGGAGGAGGAGGAGGAGGGGCAUAGAUGGAAGCUGCCGCAGGCGCGCGCCGCCGACCGGCCGGCGCUGGACCUCAACGAGCCGGCGGAGGCCGACGCCGAGGACGGCAGGCCGCCGCAGACUGCCGCUCUGGCGGCGGCGCAGUGGGUCCACCGAGGGCACCACCAGCAGAACCAGCAGCAGCAGCUGAUGCAGAUGCAGCACAAGGCGGCGCGGCGGCGGCGGCAGGAGAUCCGGCGGGCCAAGGCCGCGGCGGGCAGGACGCGGCGGCAAGGAUAAGGAUAGAGCGCGGCGGGGCCACAACAACGGCCAGCGCAAUGUCGAGAUUUUUUUUUCAGUUUGAGGCGUGCUGGUAGCGGUGUCCCCGUGCUGGAUCAAGAGUGCGACGCCAUUUUGGUCGGAUUGGAAUUUUGCGAGGUGGAUUUUCCAUGGACGAGCUGCGCGAGGUAGUGCUGGUGGUAGUAUACUAGUAUAGUGGUAGAACUCCAGCUAAGUUGUAUCAUCUGUUGGCAAUUAGCCAACAUUAAUUUAAAUUACAAUAAACAAUACUAGUGUAUUACAUUCAUGAAUACCAUUAUGUAUUCAUUAUGGCGUAUAUGAGUGGGUUAGUGUGUU
rnacentral:rRNA from 1 species